rnacentral:lncRNA from 1 species
UGCCCCCGCCGCCCCCCCGCAGCGGCCUGGGCUACAUCGCGGGGGCCAAGGUGAAGGAGGCCGCGGCCGACUGGCACUGGGCGCUGCGGGUGACGCCGGGGCUGGGCGUGGUGGCCGUGGUGCUGCUGUUCGUGGUGGUGAAGGAGCCGCCGCGGGGGGCCGUGGAGAGGCCCCCGGAUGCCCCCCUGCACUACACGUCGUGGGCCACCGACCUGCGGGCCCUGGCCACCAACCGCAGCUUCGUGCUGUCCACGCUGGGCUUCACGGCGGUGGCCUUCGUGACGGGGGCGCUGGCGCUGUGGGCGCCCGCCUUCCUCUACCGCUCGCGCCUGGCCAGCGGCGCCCGGGAGCCCUGCCCCGAGCCCCGGGGCUGCCACGCC